GUCUGCAAACAUACCACUCCAAACAUGCUUGAUCUUGUCUGACCUCAGAAGCUAAGCAGGGUUGGGCCUGGCUAAUAUUGGAUGGGAGACGAGUGCUAACAGUUUAGGGGCUGGGUGCAGUGG
rnacentral:rRNA from 1 species